UACGUAGGGGGCUAGCGUUGUCCGGAAUCAUUGGGCGUAGAGAGCGUGUAGGCGGUCCGGUAAGUCCGCUGUGAAAGUCGGGGGCUCAACCCUCGAAUGCCGGUGGAUACUGUCGGGCUAGAGUGCGGAAGAGGCGAGUGGAAUUCCUGGUGUAGCGGUGAAAUGCGCAGAUAUCAGGAGGAACACCUAUUGCGAAGGCAGCUCGCUGGGACGUAACUGACGCUGAGACGCGAAAGCGUGGGGAGCAAACAGG
rnacentral:rRNA from 1 species